rnacentral:rRNA from 1 species
AGUUGUAUCCUGGCUCAGAACGAACGCUGGCGGCAGGCUUAACACAUGCAAGUCGAACGCUCACUUCGGUGAGAGUGGCAGACGGGUGAGUAACGCGUGGGAAUAUACCUAUCAGUACGGAACAACAGUUGGAAACGACUGCUAAUACCGUAUACGCCCUUCGGGGGAAAGAUUCAUCGCUGAUAGAUUAGCCCGCGUUAGAUUAGCUAGUUGGUGGGGUAAAGGCCUACCAAGGCGACGAUCUAUAGCUGGUCUGAGAGGAUGAUCAGCCACACUGGGACUGAGACACGGCCCAGACUCCUACGGGAGGCAGCAGUGGGGAAUAUUGGACAAUGGGCGCAAGCCUGAUCCAGCCAUGCCGCGUGUGUGAUGAAGGCCUUAGGGUUGUAAAGCACUUUCAACGGUGAAGAUAAUGACGGUAACCGUAGAAGAAGCCCCGGCUAACUUCGUGCCAGCAGCCGCGGUAAUACGAAGGGGGCUAGCGUUGUUCGGAAUUACUGGGCGUAAAGCGCACGUAGGCGGAUUGAUCAGUUAGAGGUGAAAUCCCGGGGCUCAACCCCGGAACUGCCUUUAAUACUGUCAAUCUAGAGAUCGAGAGAGGUGAGUGGAAUUCCGAGUGUAGAGGUGAAAUUCGUAGAUAUUCGGAGGAACACCAGUGGCGAAGGCGGCUCACUGGCUCGAUACUGACGCUNAGGU